rnacentral:tRNA from 1 species
AGGGGAUUGGUGUAAUGGCAGCAUGCCGCUCUCCAAAAGCGUUGGUGAGAGUUCAAGUCUUUCAUCCCCUGCCA